rnacentral:lncRNA from 1 species
ACCGGGACCUUUGCAAUGAGUUGAUAGGCAGCCGAGCUGUCCUAGAAAGAAUGUGGGCGUCUCACUCCUUCAGAUCCUCCUUCAAGAAGACUUUCUGGAAGAACUGACCUUUCUGCUCAGCUGGGUCUCUUUGGCAGAUAAUUGGGUUGAAAGGGAACAACUGAAUUUCUGGAGCCACAGAACAAGGCCUUCGUUCCUCCACUCUGUCGACAUGAGUUGUUCUUCUGGGGCCUUCAUCCUCUGUCAUUCGUCCAGUGAGGCAGGUGCAUGGGAGCCCCAUCAUUGGCCUGAAGCUGUAAAAUGCAAGGUUCACCCACAGGUGUAAGCCGAAUAGAGAAGAUAACUUUCUGAAACUGAAGUUACCGGCCUUUACUUUUUCCAGGAAGUUGGAAGGAGAGGUGAGGGCUAACACGAGCAUCUCUGCAGUGAAAGGCAGGGCGAGAGGAACCUUCCCUAUUCUCACUGAUAGACACUGAAGAGAGGCCACCAUGUGAUAAAGGAACCACCUUUGCCAUCAUCUCCUUGUUGAAAUUGAAGAAAUGAAAUGAGCGCUGACGGAGGUGGGUGAUGUCACGCUGUCAUCUGCCAUCCCUGAAAUACCAC